UAGUCCGCCUAGAAGAGGCGGGCAAACCCUCGGGGGCGGCCCAGCGACCCGCGCGCGUGCGCGACGUCUGAGGAAGCCGGCGGGGGAAGUUCAGUUUUGCUGGUCGCCGCUCUUGCCUCAGUUUUUCGCAGAGUAGGGGGUCUGCGCUGUGUUGCGCUGCGUGUGGAGUGAAUUCGGGGCCAUUUCUCCUGGGUUGGGGCGAUCCAGAAGCCAAGUUAUGGAGUCUGCAAAAAAUAAUGAGAAAUGCAGAAACGGACUACUGGAAUCUUUACUCUGGGCCAUUCUUGAUGCUCAGUACCACCCCAGAUCUCCAGAAGACUCUGAAGAAAACCAUAACGAGAUACCACCUCACACCCAUUAGAAUGGCUAUUAGGAGAAAAAACAAAACAAAACAGAGAAGGACAGGUGUUCGCAAGGAUGUGGAGAAAUUGGAACCUUUGUGCACUGUUGGUGGGAAUGUAAAAGUUGUAAAACCACUAUGUAUGGCUGUUCCUCAAAACAGUGUGGUGGUUCCUCAAAAAAUUAAAAAUAGAAUUAUUAUAUGAUCCAGCAAUUCCACUUCUAGGUAUAUACCCAAAAGGUUUGAAAGCAGAGUCUUGAAGAGAUGUUUGUACACUC